UACGGAGGAUGCGAGCGUUAUCCGGAUUUAUUGGGUUUAAAGGGUGCGUAGGCGGGACAAUAAGUCAGUGGUGAAAACCUGCAGCUUAACUGUAGACUUGCCGUUGAUACUGUUGUUCUUGAGUAUGGUCAAGGCAGGCGGAAUGUGUAAUGUAGCGGUGAAAUGCUUAGAUAUUACACAGAACACCGAUAGCGAAGGCAGCUUGCUGGGCCGUUACUGACGCUGAUGCACGAAAGCGUGGGUAGCAAACAGG
rnacentral:rRNA from 1 species